CAAAGCCAGAGUCCUGGUGCGCUGAGCUGAACAGCAGCUUCUUCCCUGCAGAUGCUUUUUGCAAAGAUGGUUGGAAUGCAGUACACUGUUGCCAACGCUUAAGAGAUUUACUGUAACGGUUACCGGAUGUUGGAGAUCCAAAAUAGAACGAAUGCAUUUUUGUUGUUGUCGCAAAACAAACCUCAGCAGAUCCGGAAGCAUAAGCGGAUAUUUGCAUCAUCUGCAAUUCUUUCAAUUUUCACUGAACAUUACACUGAAACCGAGUGUUUCCUAACCAGAAGCCUUGGAUGAUCCAGGAGAUCCGCAUUCUGAGGACCAGAUCCCGGGCAUUCAGGUCUGGCGAUGCAGAGGUGUACAAGAAGUCCAGAUAUGACCUUGGCAAGGCCAUCAAAAAGGCCAAAAGGGACUUUUGCUCUAAGCCGGAGGAUGAGGCAAAUGUUCGGCAAAUGUGGCAGGGCUCAAAUGCCUUGACUUCCUACAAGGCGAAAUCAGGGGGAAGAUCAAGCGACAGCGAAGCAUCAUUUGUACCCGAUCAGCUGAUGAGAAUAAUGUACAGGUGGGUGUAUUCCAUUGGGUGUUUCAGGAUGAGGGAGUUCAAACAAAUGGCCAAUUUUCCACUUUCUGCCAAACACAUUUAUUAAUGCUUUGUUUUCGCAAUAAAAGUCCUGGCCAACAGUCCGGUUACACCCAGAA